UGGCUUCGGUGCACGUAUUGGAGCGCUGGGAGGAAGGGACUUCAUAAAGUGAAUGAUCACUUCAUCCCAGCACUAGCCACUAUUAGGAGCAAGGCAGCAACAAGAAUUAUUCUUUAGGGGCAAGUCCAUCCAUUGCUGUUAAUGUGUGGCCAAGAUCCAAAUAAAAAAAAACAGCAAAGUGUGGCCUCACCGCAGCAGGGUGCAAUCUUCACCAUGAGCACAAGCUCAUCAUACAAAAGUAAAUCUGCAGGAUUAAGGAGUCAAUGAUAGGGGUUCACUGUGGACCACCUUAGCAGAGGUGUUGGAAACCCCCCAAGCAUACCAUACACAACUUGGCUGGAUCCCUGUGUGUAAAGUCACUGCAGUUACUGUUGGUAGCAGCAACCCAUUACAAAUGAGACACCAUUUUCCACAUUCAGAAGCAUGCAAUCCAAUAGGUGGCCUACUCUACAAUUUUCCUUUCAAAUUAAGUUGAUAAAACUAUAUCUAAGGGAUUUUCCACUUCGUUUCAGCAGCAUACCCUGCAAAAAGACAAGAAGUUAAAGAAGUACCAAGACACCAGAAUACUGUACCAAGGUGGCCAAUAAGAACUCCUACAGAUAACUAUUCAGGCCUUUCCCAUAAUACCGGACAAUGUUUUCUCAGAUAUUAAUUUAUUGACAUAGCUAAAUCAAUAAGAUUUUACAUUCAAUUUAUGGAAUAUGCAAAAUGGUCUCACUCUGGAGAAAAUGCUGGAGGAUCCCUACUUUGGAAAAGUUUCUCUCUUUAUUUGGAGUAUUAAGUUGUAGAGCUGUUUGCCACUGCACCAUAGCAAGAAGCGUAGUUAUCUCAGGGAUGAUCCUUCUUAGAUUAGACCCGUUGUGGCAAAUUAGCUGAUCA